CAGGCGCCCCGGCCCCUCCCCGGGCUCCACGCCGCGGGCAGGGCGCACCGCGCAGGGACGCCCCGGCUGCUCCGUGCCGCCCCGCAGAAUCCCGGGGCUCCAUCCCCGUCUCCCCCGCCCCCUCCGGGCCCGUCUUCUGCCGCCCCGUGACGCCCCUACUGCUCGCCUCCGCCGCGGGCCAUGCUGGGCAGCCCCUCCUAGAGGCCCCGGGUCCCGCGGCCCGGGGGGCGGCGCAGGAUGCUGGGCAUGAAGACCUGGUCGUCUCUGCUCCAGAACCUCAGUAAGUGCCCAGCUCACCGCCCCGUGGACGGGAGGGUGGGGGGUCCGGGAUGGAACUUUCUGGGGCGCGCCACCCACCCGGGGCUGGAACCUGGCCCCGCACUCACCCAGCCUCGCCCUCCAGCCCCAUCACCUUCAGGCCACGCACGUGCUCCCCAGCGCCGCCUCCUCAUGCUGUCAACUCAGAAGAGAAGCCCUGGGUUGGUUUCCUCAAGUAGAAAACCCUUGACCCCCGCGGUCUGGCUGUGCCUGGGCCAACUCUAGGCAGCCGGGGGAGGCUGCCCUCAGACCCCGUGUAGGGAAGUGGCCGGCGGGCACCGGGCUUGCUGCACCGCAGGGCUCUGCCUUAGCCUGGCCAUGCGGCUCCUGGAGGUGGGUCCAACCCUGGCAGGGCCCCUCGUGCCUGCAGUGACCCGGGAGGUGGGAAAUGGGGCUGCUUGUGUGUGGACUUCGUGCCCUCUUGCUUGCACAGGUGGGACCUGGGGUGGGUUGUGGGACUGGAACUCUCAACCUACCCCUCCCCAAACUGCCCGAUCACCUCCCUGGCCCCAUCAGCUCUCUGGGGAGAACUCCUGGCAUCAAGGCCUCGCAUCACUGGCACAGUUAGGCAGCGAGAGGGUAAGAGUCACAGAGCCCGCCGAGGGUGGGGAGCGCCAUGAGUCCCAUCGGAGAGAGGGUGAGCGGGACUCUGAGGCCUGGGGCAGUGCCACAGGUGCGGGUGUGAAGCUGGCGGUGGGCCACUGAGGUCCUCAGGCUGAGGGGCGGCCAGAGUGAGGGAUGGAGAGAAGCCUUCCAUGAACAGCAACUCAGGCUACCAAGGUCCCUUUGGGGUGGCUCCAGUGACAGAGAAUGGGCGGGGACGCUGGCCUCAGGACUGCUUCUUCCCAUCCUGACCUUCGGGCCCCUUACCUGCGGGCCUUUUCUUCCAGGUGAGCCAGGCCAGCAGCGGGGGGACGACGCCAUCCCCCAUGCCUGGCCCCUCCUGGCUGCCUCGCCUGCCCGCCCACCCCUCCUCUCUCUGUGUGCACCUCUCUGCCUGUUUGAACUGCAGCUUUUAAAGCUUUUUGCCUUUUGAAAACUCAGGGGGAGAAAGAGUCAUUUGUGGAGAGGUCGCGAACGGUUGAUGAUUAUAGUCCAGUGGGUAGAAAGAGCUUAAAACAAAUCCCUGUCCAUCAGAUGUCGGCUUAGGUGGUUUCCAGCGCUCUCCUGGGGGGCCGGGGUGGGGGGCAGCCGCUUAGAGAAAAGGGGAGGCUUUUUUCCUUGAAGCUAAGUGAACCUGCAAAACUCUCUUCUUAUUUGGGUGUUUGAUCACGGCUCCCCUCUGCCUGGCUUCCUCUGAUCGCCCUUCCUCCGGGUGCCCGGCUGGUGGAGGAGGGCCUCGGCAGCCCCCAGACGGCCUCACCAGCUGUGUGACCUUGGCCUGGUCAUGCGGUGUCUGGGAGUCUCUGUUUCCCCCGAGGGGUGAUGGUCAUGCCGGUUGCACAGGGUACUCACGAAGCCUCGGGAAUGUGCCACCAUCUCCCGGGCGGAGGGUAUACCUGGCCUGCAGGGUGUGGUGGUUGGAUCCUGUGCUGCUCCUCCUCUGCCACACCAACUCCCCUGUCCAGGUGCAGAGGCCACCUGCGUGGAGCUGGAAGGGCCCUCACUUUGUUUCCAAAGGCCAGCUAGUGAGGCCGGGAGGAGGAUGCCGGCUGGAGAGGCCUGUGUUAAGUGCUGGGUUGACUGCCCACAGGGGCUGGUAGGGGCCCCUUGCAGACAGAAUGGGCCCUCCCUAUGUCCUUUACCUGUGGUCACGCCUCAGUCCUCAUGGCAGCAUCAGGGGGAGGGCACUGGCUUCGUGCCCUCUCGUUUUUGCAGGUGAGGAAACAGUGUGCUCGUUUUUCAGGGUCACACAGCUAGUGAGGUGCAGACGGGAGAGGCUGGUGGGAGCCUGGGCAGUCCCACUCAGGGUCACGCCCCCAGCCAGCCAUCUGUGGCCACUGGCAUCUCUUCCUUCAGCUCCAGAAAGAUCCGGUCACUCCGAUAUCCAGGAGUGUGGGACGGCCCCUGGUUCCCGGCUGCAUGCAGCGGUUGGGUGGGAAUCCUGGGCUCCUCCAUGGGCUGCCCCCGCCCACCUGGAGCUCCUGCCUCCCCAGCUCUCCUGCCAACCGAAUCUCAUGCUGCUUCUGUGCCACGCCCUGGCCCUUCGCAUCUCUGCUUGGUGCCUGGGCUGUAAGGGAAGCAUGUAAUAGAACCAUGAACAGCGCCAGGCCUGGGCUCCCAUCUGGGUUCUCCUUCAUUACUGCUGUGUGACUUGGGGCAAGUGACCUCACCUCUCUGUGCCACAUUCUCCCAUUCGUUCCAUGGGGAUGGCAGGACUGCCCUGCUAGGGGUAAGUGCAUCAGUCCAGUUAAUGACUGCACACUGUCAGUGUCAUAAAUGUCAGCUGCUAUUUUUUCUUCCACCUGGAAGUCCCUUCCUGCCUCUCCCUACCGUCUCCCCAUACUUCAAGGCCUAGCUUAAAUGCCACCUCCUCCAAGAAGCCUUCCAGACUCCACCCAGCCAUAAGUCAUCUCUCCUGCCUCCUCAUGGUCUAUGUUGUUGUUU
rnacentral:lncRNA from 1 species